rnacentral:rRNA from 1 species
CUACGGGGCGCAGCAGUGGGGAAUAUUGCACAAUGGACGAAAGUCUGAUGCAGCAACGCCGCGUGGAGGAUGACACAUUUCGGUGCGUAAACUCCUUUUAUAAGAGAAGAUAAUGACGGUAUCUUAUGAAUAAGCUCCGGCUAACUCCGUGCCAGCAGCCGCGGUAAUACGGGGGGAGCAAGCGUUACUCGGAAUUACUGGGCGUAAAGCGCAUGUAGGCGGACUUGUAAGUUGGAAGUGAAAUCCUAUGGCUUAACCAUAGAACUGCUUCCAAAACUACUUGUCUAGAAUGUGGGAGAGGUAGAUGGAAUUUCUGGUGUAGGGGUAAAAUCCGUAGAGAUCAGAAGGAAUACCGAUUGCGAAGGCGAUCUACUGGAACAAUAUUGACGCUGAGAUGCGAAAGCGUGGGGAGCAAACAGGAUUAGAUACCCCUGUAGUC